GUCAGUUUGGCCGAGUGGUUAAGGCGAUAGACUCGAAAUCUAUUGGGCUCUGCCCGCAUCGGUUCAAAUCCGAUAGCUGACG
rnacentral:tRNA from 3 species